rnacentral:rRNA from 1 species
UACGUAGGGGCCUAGCGUUGUCCGGAUUUAUUGGGCGUAAAGAGCGUGUAGGCGGCCAGAUAAGUCCGCUGUGAAAUCUCGAGGCUCAACUUCGAGCUGUCGGUGGAAACUAUCUGGCUAGAGUCCGGAAGAGGAGAAUGGAAUUCCUGGUGUAGCGGUGAAAUGCGCAGAUAUCAGGAAGAACACCCGUGGCGAAGGCGGUUCUCUGGGACGGUACUGACGCUGAGACGCGAAAGCGUGGGGAGCGAACAGG